rnacentral:snRNA from 1 species
GUGCUCACUUCAGCAGCACAUAUACUAAAACUGGAACAAUACAGAAAAGAUUAGCAUGGCCCCUGUGCAAGGAUGACAUGCAAAUUCAUGAAGCAUUUCAUAUUAAA